rnacentral:rRNA from 1 species
GACGUAGGGGGCAAGCGUUGUUCGGAAUUAUUGGGCGUAAAGCGCUCGUAGGCGGGACUGUAAGUCCGUGUUGAAAGACCUCGGCUCAACUGAGGGACCGGCGCGGAUACUAUAGUUCUUGAGGCAAUCAGAGGGUGAUGGAAUUCCCGGUGUAGCGGUGAAAUGCGUAGAGAUCAAGAGGAAUACCAGAGGCGAAGGCGGCGAACUGGACAGUAACUGACACUAAACUACGAAAGCGUGGGGAGCAAACAGG